rnacentral:rRNA from 1 species
GAGUAACGCGUAUCCAACCUUCCCCCUACUCAGGCGAUAGCCCGGUGAAAACCGGAUUAACUCCUGAUAGUUUCACUAGAUGGCAUCUGACGGUGAAUAAAGCUCAGCGGUAAGGGAUGGGGAUGCGUCUGAUUAGCUUGUUGGCGGGGUAACGGCCCACCAAGGCGACGAUCAGUAGGGUUCUGAGAGGAAGGUCCCCCACAUUGGAACUGAGACACGGUCCAAACUCCUACGGGAGGCAGCAGUGAGGAAUAUUGGUCAAUGGGGCGGAAGCCUGAACCAGCCAAGUAGCGUGCAGGAAGACGGCCCUAUGGGUUGUAAACUGCUUUUGUGCGGGAAUAAAGUCAGGGACGUGUCCCUGUUUGCAUGUACCGCAAGAAUAAGGACCGGCUAAUUCCGUGCCAGCAGCGGC